rnacentral:lncRNA from 1 species
AAAACAUUAUCAGCCAUGUAAAAUGUAAUAAAAAUAUUUGUUUUAAAAAAAUGGUAUAAAUUGCAGGGAUCUUUUCAGUUUAUUUUUACACCAGUCGGGAAACAUGUGCCAGGGCUGAGUGGCAAGGUUAUCCGGCAGAAGGUUCAAACUUCGUAGAUUGAAAAGAGCAUCUCAUUCCCGGUAGAAGGAUGUAUUUCUGUUGAUGCUUGUCUGUGAUUUAUUGCCUUUGAAACAGAUCUGAAGACGACGGAUAAAGAACCGAGAUGUUCAGAGGGAUUUUCAUAUUUGGAGCUGGGGUCUACACGGGGAUGUAUAUAGCUCAAAAUUACGAGAUUCGGCCAGUAGACAAACCACUUGUGUUAUGGGAAGAUUUGAAGAACUACGCUGACAAGUACAAAAAGUGAAAACAAAUAUUUACACCCCGGGAAGAUAUAUUGUAAUUUUGUUUUCAAUUUUCUUCUUACGAAAAUUUCAAGUUGCUAUUUCGGUGCAAAAAGUAGAAGAUCCUGCAACUGUCGUAAACAAAAUAAUUGCAUUUAUUGACGAGACUGCUAAAGAGAAAAAGAAAUAGGUGUUAAUAGAACAAUAAAAUGUUAAAUAUGUAGUAAAAA